UACGUAGGUGGCAAGCGUUGUCCGGAUUUAUUGGGUUUAAAGGGUGCGUAGGCGGUCUAUUAAGUCAGUGCUGAAAUACUCCAGCUUAACUGGAGGGGUGGCAUUGAUACUGAUGGACUUGAGUACAGAUGAGGGUAGGCGGAAUUGACGGUGUAGCGGUGAAAUGCAUAGAUAUCGUCAAGAACACCGAUAGCGAAGGCAGCUUACUGGGCUGUAACUGACGCUGAUGCACGAAAGUGUGGGGAUCAAACAGG
rnacentral:rRNA from 1 species